rnacentral:rRNA from 1 species
UACGUAGGGGGCUAGCGUUGUCCGGAAUCAUUGGGCGUAAAGAGCGUGUAGGCGGCCCGGUAAGUCUGCUGUGAAAGUCGGGGGCUCAACCCUCGAAUGCCGGUGGAUACUGUCGGGCUAGAGUGCGGAAGAGGCGAGUGGAAUUCCUGGUGUAGAGGUGAAAUUCGUAGAUAUUCGCAAGAACACCAGUGGCGAAGGCGGCUCACUGGUCCGGUACUGACGCUGAGGUGCGAAAGCGUGGGGAGCAAACAGG